rnacentral:tRNA from 1 species
AGGAUUAUAAUUUAAAAUUAAAAUAUUUGAUUUGCAAUCAAAAAAUAUUGAAAAUCAAUUUAUCUUA